rnacentral:rRNA from 1 species
UGCCUUAGUAGCGGCGAGUGAAGCGGCAAAAGCUCAAAUUUGAAAUCUGGCACUUUCAGUGUCCGAGUUGUAAUUUGAAGAAGGUAUCUUUGGGUCUGGCUCUUGUCUAUGUUUCUUGGAACAGAACGUCACAGAGGGUGAGAAUCCCGUGCGAUGAGAUGUCCCAGACCUAUGUAAAGUUCCUUCGAAGAGUCGAGUUGUUUGGGAAUGCAGCUCUAAGUGGGUGGUAAAUUCCAUCUAAAGCUAAAUAUUGGCGAGAGACCGAUAGCGAACAAGUACAGUGAUGGAAAGAUGAAAAGAACUUUGAAAAGAGAGUGAAAAAGUACGUGAAAUUGUUGAAAGGGAAGGGCUUGAGAUCAGACUUGGUAUUUUGUAUGUUACUCUCUCGGGGGUGGCCUCUACAGUUUACCGGGCCAGCAUCAGUUUGGGCGGUAGGACAAUUGCAAAGAAAUGUGGCACUGCCUCGGUAGUGUGUUAUAGUCUUUGUCGAUACUGCCAGCCUAGACUGAGGACUGCGGCUUCGGCCUAGGAUGUUGGCAUAAUGAUCUUAAGUCGCCCGUCUUG